rnacentral:rRNA from 1 species
UUGAACGCUGGCGGCAGGCCUAACACAUGCCAGUCGAGCGGAUGAAGGGAGCUUGCUCCUGGAUUCAGCGGCGGACGGGUGAGUAAUGCCUAGGAAUCUGCCUGGUAGUGGGGGAUAACGUCCGGAAACGGGCGCUAAUACCGCAUACGUCCUGAGGGAGAAAGUGGGGGAUCUUCGGACCUCAUGCUAUCAGAUGAGCCUAGGUCGGAUUAGCUAGUUGGUGGGGUAAAGGCCUACCAAGGCGACGAUCCGUAACUGGUCUGAGAGGAUGAUCAGUCACACUGGAACUGAGACACGGUCCAGACUCCUACGGGAGGCAGCAGUGGGGAAUAUUGGACAAUGGGCGAAAGCCUGAUCCAGCCAUGCCGCGUGUGUGAAGAAGGUCUUCGGAUUGUAAAGCACUUUAAGUUGGGAGGAAGGGCAGUAAGUUAAUACCUUGCUGUUUUGACGUUACCAACAGAAUAAGCACCGGCUAACUUCGUG